rnacentral:SRP_RNA from 1 species
GGGCAAGUCUUGUGCAACCAGCUCCCAACGAACCUCCCCAGAGUCGGAAGACAGCAAGGAUAAAUUGGUUGUAGCGGUGUGAUACAAGUAGCUUGCCUUUU